AUUUAGAAAUAAUCCCUGGAUCAAUGGGAUUUUAAUCUAACCAAUUCACAAUUGGAUUGGGGCCUAAUUGGAUUUAUAAUUGGACUAGAACACAAUUAGUUAGUUUGUUAUAACUAAUUCCUAAAUUGGUUGGGAUUGGAUUCAAGAAUUAGUUAGAGUUGGAUCAAGAUCUUGAAUCCUAUUUGGAAUAGGGCUUAACCAACUUC
rnacentral:lncRNA from 1 species